rnacentral:tmRNA from 1 species
GGGGGCGAAAUGGUUUCGACCGGGUGAGUUGACGGAAAGGUGGCGUGUCGAGGUUGUCAGGUGGCCUCGUUAAACCCCUGGCGAAAACUUUAAAUGGCGACAAUCUGUACGCCAUGGCUGCCUAACUAGGCCGCCCGUCGAGUUGCCGACGCCCGCUAGGCAACGAGACGCCAUUAGCGGGCUGGUCUCCGAGUCCUGCUCGGCAGCGAGGAGACGAGAACUUGUCGAGCUGGUCCGCCCGGAAGCCUGUCGUUCGGCGUCCGGGCAGAUGACGACAAACGAACGACUACACACGUAGAGGCCUCUCCUGAAGCACUUUGGGACGCGGGUUCGAUUCCCGCCGCCUCCAGUA